GUGGGGAAUAUUGGACAAUGGGCGAAAGCCUGAUCCAGCCAUGCCGCGUGUGUGAAGAAGGUCUUCGGAUUGUAAAGCACUUUAAGUUGGGAGGAAGGGCAGUAAGUUAAUACCUUGCUGUUUUGACGUUACCGACAGAAUAAGCACCGGCUAACUUCGUGCCAGCAGCCGCGGUAAUACGAAGGGUGCAAGCGUUAAUCGGAAUUACUGGGCGUAAAGCGCGCGUAGGUGGUUUUGUAAGUUGGAGGUGAAAACCCCGGGCUCAACCUGGGAACUGCCUCCAAAACUGCAUGACUAGAGUACGGUAGAGGGUAGUGGAAUUUCCUGUGUAGCGGUGAAAUGCGUAGAUAUAGGAAGGAACACCAGUGGCGAAGGCGACUACCUGGACUGAUACUGACACUGAGGUGCGAAAGCGUGGGGAGCAAACAGGAUUAGAAACCCCGGUAGUCC
rnacentral:rRNA from 1 species